AACCCAGGACUUCACACUGCCAGAGGCAAAAAGAAGAAUAACUGAGAAGAAAUCCUAGCCAUGACUGACAGAAAUUUUUCCAAGAGGAACUGUCAGGAAAUUGGGACCCAGAGAACAAAGAAAUCUGAGCUUUGGUGAAGUAUUGGCAUAACACCACAAACAAGGACAGAAAAGCAACAUGAAUCUCAUAAUUUUGCCAUGUCAGAAAGCAAAAGUAUGUUUGAAGUGUGUUGAAUAUAAAGAAUAGGAGUCCAACUUGAAGAGGACACCCACUGGAGAAGUAAGCAUUAAUGAGAAUUAAGUACAUAAAUCUUUAUACAUGUUGUAUAUGCAUACACACAUCCCUCCCCAACACACACUUUUUCUGAUGAAAGAAUAGAUAUCACUACUGUCCUGACAGAUAAGUGCUACAAAAUGUAAAAUUGGGAGGGAGAAGGGGCUAUAGGUAUAUCAUACUGUGAUCC
rnacentral:lncRNA from 1 species